GACGGAGGAUGCAAGUGUUAUCCGGAAUCACUGGGCGUAAAGCGUCUGUAGGUGGUUUAAAAAGUCCACUGUUAAAGGUUGAAGCUUAACUUCAAAAAUGCCGUGGAAACUUUUAAACUUGAGUAUGGUAGGGGUAGAGGGAAUUUCCAGUGGAGCGGUGAAAUGCGUAGAUAUUGGAAAGACCACCGAUGGCGAAGGCACUCUACUGGGCCAUUACUGACACUGAGAGACGAAAGCUAGGGGAGCAAAUGGG
rnacentral:rRNA from 1 species